AAGAAACGUCUUUUCAUUUUAAAAUUGAACAAUUUUCUUGACGUUGUCCGCUGUCGGUCAAUAACGUAACCUCCGCUACUUUCGCUCUACUGUGAACAUAAUAGCAGUGCCCGUGCUAUUAUCAUGCUGUUUAUUGUUUUAUACCAACACCGUUUGCCAAAUACGUCAUCGAUUGCUGGGUACACGCUUUAAGAUGGAAGAAAACGAAGUUAGUGGAGUGUCGGUCAAACCUUUUUCCAACGGUAACGUCCGUCACUAACAAUGUUCUUCAAAAGGAACAAGAAGUUGUGGACAUUAAAUGCUGUGAAACACUCAGUUCUUGAAACCGAUGUCAUGAAGAAGACGGCUCCUCCAGACAUACUUAUGUGUGGAACAAGGAUUUUAUACCUGUGAGACAUGGAAGAACUUUACAGAAGUUCGGAUUUACGAAGUUAUGAUUAGUGUUUAAUUUAAUCAGUGUAUAC